GAUGAACGCUAGCGGCAGGCCUAACACAUGCAAGUCGAGGGGUAUAGUAGCAAUACUAGAGACCGGCGCACGGGUGCGUAACGCGUAUGCAAUCUACCUUUUACAGAGGGAUAGCCCAGAGAAAUUUGGAUUAAUACCUCAUAGUAUUAUGAAAUGGCAUCAUUUUAUAAUUAAAGUCACAACGGUAAAAGAUGAGCAUG
rnacentral:rRNA from 1 species